rnacentral:rRNA from 1 species
AGUGAACGCUGGCGGUAGGCCUAACACAUGCAAGUCGAACGGCAGCACAGUAAGAGCUUGCUCUUACGGGUGGCGAGUGGCGGACGGGUGAGGAAUACAUCGGAAUCUACUUUUUCGUGGGGGAUAACGUAGGGAAACUUACGCUAAUACCGCAUACGACCUACGGGUGAAAGCAGGGGAUCUUCGGACCUUGCGCGAUUGAAUGAGCCGAUGUCGGAUUAGCUAGUUGGCGGGGUAAAGGCCCACCAAGGCGACGAUCCGUAGCUGGUCUGAGAGGAUGAUCAGCCACACUGGAACUGAGACACGGUCCAGAGUCCUACGGGAGGCAGCAGUGGGGGAUAUUGGACAAUGGUCGCAAGCCUGAUCCAGCCAUACCGCGUGGGUGAAGAAGGCCUUCGGGUUGUAAAGCCCUUUUGUUGGGAAAGAAAAGCAGCAGGUUAAUACCCCGCUGUUCUGACGGUACCCAAAGAAUAAGCACCGGCUAACUUCGUG